ACAGGAAGCAGCUUGCUGCUUUGCUGACGAGUGGCGGACGGGUGAGUAAUGUCUGGGAAACUGCCUGAUGGAGGGGGAUAACUACUGGAAACGGUGGCUAAUACCGCAUAACGUCGCAAGACCAAAGAGGGGGACCUUCGGGCCUCUUGCCAUCAGAUGUGCCCAGAUGGGAUUAGCUUGUUGGUGAGGUAACGGCUCACCAAGGCGACGAUCCCUAGCUGGUCUGAGAGGAUGACCAGCCACACUGGAACUGAGACACGGUCCAGACUCCUACGGGAGGCAGCAGUGGGGAAUAUUGCACAAUGGGCGCAAGCCUGAUGCAGCCAUGCCGCGUGUAUGAAGAAGGCCUUCGGGUUGUAAAGUACUUUCAGCGGGGAGGAAGGUGUUGUGGUUAAUAACCGCAGCAAUUGACGUUACCCGCAGAAGAAGCACCGGCUAACUCCGUGCCAGCAGCCGCGGUAAUACGGAGGGUGCAAGCGUUAAUCGGAAUUACUGGGCGUAAAGCGCACGCAGGCGGUCUGUCAAGUCGGAUGUGAAAUCCCCGGGCUCAACCUGGGAACUGCAUUCGAAACUGGCAGGCUUGAGUCUUGUAGAGGGGGGUAGAAUUCCAGGUGUAGCGGUGAAAUGCGUAGAGAUCUGGAGGAAUACCGGUGGCGAAGGCGGCCCCCUGGACAAAGACUGACGCUCAGGUGCGAAAGCGUGGGGAGCAAACAGGAUUAGAUACCCUGGUAGUCCACGCCGUAAACGAUGUCUACUUGGAGGUUGUGCCCUUGAGGCGUGGCUUCCGGAGCUAACGCGUUAAGUAGACCGCCUGGGGAGUACGGCCGCAAGGUUAAAACUCAAAUGAAUUGACGGGGGCCCGCACAAGCGGUGGAGCAUGUGGUUUAAUUCGAUGCAACGCGAAGAACCUUACCUGGUCUUGACAUCCACAGAAGAAUCCAGAGAUGGAUUUGUGCCUUCGGGAACUGUGAGACAGGUGCUGCAUGGCUGUCGUCAGCUCGUGUUGUGAAAUGUUGGGUUAAGUCCCGCAACGAGCGCAAC
rnacentral:rRNA from 1 species